rnacentral:rRNA from 1 species
UACGAAGGGAGCUAGCAUUGUUCGGAAUCACUGGGCGUAAAGCGCACGUAGGCGGAUGUGUCAGUCAGGGGUGAAAUCCCGGAGCUCAACUUCGGAACUGCCUUUGAUACAGCACGUCUUGAGUCCGGAAGAGGUGGGUGGAAUUCCUAGUGUAGAGGUGAAAUUCGUAGAUAUUAGGAAAAACACCAGUGGCGAAGGCGGCCCACUGGUCCGGUACUGACGCUGAGGUGCGAAAGCGUGGGGAGCAAACAGG